GGGACUAUAGCUCAGUUGGUUAGAGCGCUACGUUGACAUCGUAGAGGUCACUGGUUCGAAUCCAGUUAGCCCCA
rnacentral:tRNA from 1 species